rnacentral:rRNA from 1 species
UGAGGAAUAUUGGUCAAUGGGAGCAAUCCUGAACCAGCAAUGCCGCGUGUGGGAUGACGGGGCUCAGCCCUGUAAACCACUGUCGGACGGGACGAAAGGAGCCUUCAGGGCUCUGGGACGGUACCGUCAAAGGAAGGGUCGGCUAACUACGUGCCAGCAGCCGCGGUAAUACGUAGGACCCAAGCGUUGUCCGGAAUUACUGGGUAUAAAGGGUGCGCAGGCGGCCGUGUGCGUCAGAGGUGAAAUCUCCGGGCUUAACCCGGAAGUGCCUUUGAUACGGCAUGGCUUGAGUCCGAGAGAGGGUAAUGGAAUUCCUAGUGUAGCAGUGAAAUGCGUAGAUAUCAGGAGGAACACCGGUGGCGAAGGCGGUCACCUGGCUCGGCACGUGACGCUUAGGCACGA